AGAGUUUGAUCAUGGCUCAGGAUGAACCUAGCGGCAGGCUUAAUACAUGCAAGUCGAACGGUAACAGGUGUAGCAAUACAUGCUGACGGGUGGCAGACGGGUGAGGAACACGUACACAACCUCCCUCUAACCGGGGCACAACUCCGAGAAAUCGGGGCUAGCUCCCCAUAACAUCCCGAUGUGGCAUCACAUUGGGAUUAAAACUCCGGUGGUAAGAGAUGGGUGUGCGUCUGAUUAGCUAGUUGGCGGGGUAACGGCCCACCAAGGCAACGAUCAGUAACUGGUGUGAGAGCACGACCAGUCACACGGGCACUGAGAUACGGGCCCGACUCCUACGGGAGGCAGCAGUAAGGAAUAUUGGGCAAUGGACGCAAGUCUGACCCAGCCAUGCCGCGUGAAGGAUGAAGGUCCUCUGGAUUGUAAACUUCUUUUAUCAGGGAAGAAAUCCACUGUUUCUACGGUGGUUGACGGUACCUGAGGAAUAAGCACCGGCUAACUCCGUGCCAGCAGCCGCGGUAAUACGGAGCGUGCAAGCGUUAUCCGGAUUUACUGGGUUUAAAGGGUGCGUAGGCGGGCCUUUAAGUCAGUGGUGAAAUCUCCGGGCCUAACCCGGAAACUGCCAUUGAUACUAUUGGUCUUGAAUUCAGUUGAGGUGGGCGGAAUGCGUCGUAGCGGUGAAAUGCUUAGAUAUGACACAGAACACCGAUUGCGAAGGCAGCUCGCUAAACUGACAUUGACGCUGAGGCACGAAAGCGUGGGGAUCAAACAGGAUUAGAUACCCUAGUAGUCC
rnacentral:rRNA from 1 species